UAGCGAAUCUUCCGCAAUGGACGAAAGUCUGACGGAGCAACGCCGCGUGAGUGAAGAAGGAUUUCGGUUCGUAAAACUCUGUUGUUAGGGAAGAAAAAAUGUAUAGUAACUAUAUACAAAAGAGACGGUACCUAACCAGAAAGCCACGGCUAACUACGUGCCAGCAGCCGCGGUAAUACGUAGGUGGCAAGCGUUGUCCGGAAUUAUUGGGCGUAAAGCGCGCGCAGGUGGUUUAGAAAGUCUGAUGUGAAAGCCCACGGCUCAACCGUGGAGGGUCAUUGGAAACUAAUAAACUUGAGUGCAGGAGAGAAAAGUGGAAUUCCUAGUGUAGCGGUGAAAUGCGUAGAGAUUAGGAGGAACACCGGUGGCGAAAGCGGCUUUUUGGCCUGCAACUGACACUGAGGCGCGAAAGCGUGGGGAGCAAACAGG
rnacentral:rRNA from 1 species